GACGAAGUGGCCAAGUGGUUUAAGGCAACUGGCUACUAUCCAGUAGAUCGCAGGUUCGAUUCCUGCCUUCGUCU
rnacentral:tRNA from 1 species